GUGGGGAAUAUUGGACAAUGGGCGGAAGCCUGAUCCAGCAACGCCGCGUGGGGGAUGACGGCCUUCGGGUUGUAAACCUCUUUCAGCACAGGCGAAGCCGCAGCUUUUGUUGUGGUGACGGUAUGUGUAGAAGAAGCACCGGCCAACUACGUGCCAGCAGCCGCGGUAAUACGUAGGGUGCGAGCGUUGUCCGGAAUUAUUGGGCGUAAAGGGCUCGUAGGCGGUUGGUCGCGUCGGUAGUGAAAUCCAGGUGCUUAACACCUGGCUUGCUUUCGAUACGGGCCGACUUGAGGGAUGCAGGGGAGAACGGAAUUCCUGGUGUAGCGGUGAAAUGCGCAGAUAUCAGGAGGAACACCGGUGGCGAAGGCGGUUCUCUGGGCAUUUCCUGACGCUGAGGAGCGAAAGUGUGGGGAGCGAACAGG
rnacentral:rRNA from 1 species